CAGUAAGUCUCCCAGAUGCUUGAAUUACAGACGCGCAACCCUUCCCAUCGGUGAGAGCAGGCCAGUGCACAGAGAAGAUACAAAAAGCCUUACUCCUACAUCUUUCCCUCUGUCGGCGGUCUGCAGCCCAGAUCCUCCAGCGGCGGCUUGGAGGUCAGAACCUCCAGCGGUGGUCUACAGCACAGGGAUUCCGAAGCAGAGGAAUCUUCGGGCGGAAUGGAGGUUUCGCCCUGAGCCAGAGCCACCUCCGUUGCUGGAGGAUCGGGAGAAGAGGAAGGUUCUGGGUGUUGCAUAUGAGCCGCC
rnacentral:lncRNA from 1 species